GUCUUGCAGCUUUAAAGAGAUGUCCUUUUGAUGUGUUUUCUCCAUAGGCAUGGACACAAAAAAGUCAAACGCCAGAGACGAAAGCAGCCUGGGAACAGUGGUGUGAAAAACAGUGAGACAAGGAAGCAGAGAAGAUGUCUUAAAAGGGAUAGGUCAAUGGAAGCAAAUGGGCCUAAUACACAAUGUUUGUAUCCAAAAUAAUAUCUUUAUAGAGUCUAAAAGGAAUUUUGUAGACAAAUAGAGCUCUUUCUGCACCAUUGAUAUGGCUAGGCAAUUUGGGUUCACCCGCCAUUGAACAAUGGAUAGAAACUAAUCAAGGAGAGACGCAACCCAGAACUAAGCAGAAGUUUC